rnacentral:rRNA from 1 species
GAUGAACGCUAGCUACAGGCUUAACACAUGCAAGUCGAGGGGUAACGAGAGGAAAGCUUGCUUUCCUUGUCGACGACCGGCGCACGGGUGAGUAACGCGUAUCCAACCUGCCCCCAACUAAGGAAUAACCUUGCGAAAGUAAGACUAAUACCUUAUAAUUUCCUCAGAUGACAUCUGACGAGGAAUAAAGAUUUAUCGGUUGUGGAUGGGGAUGCGUCUGAUUAGCUUGUUGGCGGGGUAACGGCCCACCAAGGCAACGAUCAGUAGGGGUUCUGAGAGGAAGGUCCCCCACAUUGGAACUGAGACACGGUCCAAACUCCUACGGGAGGCAGCAGUGAGGAAUAUUGGUCAAUGGGCGAAAGCCUGAACCAGCCAAGUAGCGUGCAGGAUGACGGCCCUAUGGGUUGUAAACUGCUUUUAUACAGGAAUAAAGUUAGCCACGUGUGGUUAUUUGUAGGUACUGUAUGAAUAAGGACCGGCUAAUUCCGUGCCAGCAGCCGCCGCGG